rnacentral:lncRNA from 1 species
CUUUGUCUUGCGCUGGGCUGCGCCCGGGAGCUGGCAACCCUCAGGAGGAGGAGGUUGCCAUGCGGACAAGUUUUUUGCCUCGGUUGUACGUGGACCGGUGGGGUAGUGGUGGCCGCCCUUGGGAGGUGUACGUUGCUCAUGGUAGUUGAACAGCUGGCCUUCAAGGACCAGUGUGUGAGUACUCGCUUGUGUUUGCCUUGUUUGUGCAGCCGUGUCUCGGCUUAUGUGGUUUGGCAUCUCAGGCCUGUGGUCCUCCGUGUAUCUCUUGCCUCGCUGGCUGCGUGGGUGACCUGGACUAGGAGAGCCUUCUGAGGGACCGCGCCUGAUGUGGGUAGGUCUUCCCUUGCCUCGGUUUUUUGAGUGUGUAGUGGAGCCCCCUGCGUAGAGCCCCUGCCCCCGGUGGUGUUUUCUGUUUGUUCUUGUUUUGGCGGUCAAGAGGGACGAGAGUGUGCGAAUAGGCUGGCCAGGCGAAGUGGGGCCAUGUUGGCGAUGCAAGACAGCGGCAAGUGUGAAGGCCGGAAUUAGGAUUAGGAUUAGAAUUAAAAUGUGUAGGUCGACCAAAAUUUUUUUUUGUGAGUUUUAGGCCAUCACAGGCUUUUACCUUUGUCGCCUCUGCGUAAAUACUGACAGACGGUGUGCCGUUGGCUUUCCGAGCGAACGUUGCCGUGUCUAGCUACCGCAGGACCGCUGACCGUUGCAGCUGGAGUUAUCCUUCAUCCAUCUUUCAUGUAAUCUUCUUCUCCAACUACGAUCCCUCAACCAUAUCCUCGUUAGUGCACUGCCUACGUUGCCGCUUUCGUUGGGGUUCAUUGACGCCUGCUGAGGGGCUUUGCGCUUGGCCGUGCG